UGGCCUUGACAUAGAUAGAACUUUCCAGAGAUGGAUUGGUGCUAGCUUGCUAGAACUAUCAUACAGGUGCUGCACGGCUGUCGUCAGCUCGUGUCGUGAGAUGUUGGGUUAAGUCCCGCAACGAGCGCAACCCUCGUGUUUAGUUACUAACAGUUCGGCUGAGGACUCUAGACAGACUGCCUUCGUAAGGAGGAGGAAGGUGAGGACGACGUCAAGUCAUCAUGGCCCUUACGGCCAGGGCUACACACGUGCUACAAUGGGGCAUACAAAGAGCAGCGAUACCGCGAGGUGGAGCAAAUCUCAUAAAAUGUCUCCCAGUUCGGAUAGCAGUCUGCAACUCGACUGCUUGAAGU
rnacentral:rRNA from 1 species